rnacentral:lncRNA from 1 species
AAGAAUAUUAUUCAGAACGACGCAAAAGGGGGUGCCAUUCCAAGUACACAAAUAGCAUGUGAAUCCAAAAAGAAAAACAACCUGCAAAGCAAAUAAACCCGAAAUUCCUAUACAUCCGAAUUUACCCCUCUAAUCUCAAGGAGUCUGGAGUCCUCAAACUAAACUCUCCCAAAAAGUCAGUAAAGGAAACAACAUAAUUUGGAUAAGUGAGACUCCAGAGGGCAUCUGCCUCGAUAACAAUUGCUACCAAAUAAUUUAUGCAUAUUUUUGCUUUAUCAACAAAGUUUUUC